rnacentral:rRNA from 1 species
UACAGGGGGUGCAAACGUUGCUCGGAAUCAUUGGGCGUAAAGCGCACGUAGGCGGUCUGUUAUGUCGGAUGUGAAAGCCCUUGGCUCAACUGAGGAAGUGCAUCCGAAACUGGCAGGCUAGAGUACGAAAGAGGAUCGCGGAAUUCCCGGUGUAGAGGUGAAAUGCGCAGAUAUCAGGAAGAACACCCGUGGCGAAGGCGGCUCUCUGGGACGGUACUGACGCUGAGACGCGAAAGCGUGGGGAGCGAACAGG